GGCUGGCCGGUCCGCCUCACCGCGUGUACUGGUCCGGCCGGGCCUUUCCCUCUGUGGAACCCCAUGCCCUUCACUGGGUGUGGCGGGGAAACAGGACUUUUACUGUGAAAAAAUUAGAGUGCUCCAGGCAGGCCUAUGCUCGAAUACAUUAGCAUGGAAUAAUAGAAUAGGACGUGUGGUUCUAUUUUGUUGGUUUCUAGGACCGCCGUAAUGAUUAAUAGGGACAGUCGGGGGCAUCAGUAUUCAAUUGUCAGAGGUGAAAUUCUUGGAUUUAUUGAAGACUAACUACUGCGAAAGCAUUUGCCAAGGAUGUUUUCAUUAAUCAGGAACGAAAGUUAGGGGAUCGAAGACGAUCAGAUACCGUCGUAGUCUUAACCAUAAACUAUGCCGACUAGGGAUCGGACGGUGUUAUUUUUUGACCCGUUCGGCACCUUACGAGAAAUCAAAGUGCUUGGGCUCCAGGGGGAGUAUGGUCGCAAGGCUGAAACUUAAAGAAAUUGACGGAAGGGCACCACCAGGGGUGGAGCCUGCGGCUUAAUU
rnacentral:rRNA from 1 species